CAUGAAGCUGGAAUUGCUAGUAAUGGCAGGUCAGCAUACUGCCGUGAAUACGUUCCCGGGCCUUGUACACACCGCCCGUCACACCAUGAGAGUUGGAAAUACCCGAAGCCUGUGAGCUAACAGUAAUGAGGCAGCAGUCGAAGGUAGAGCCAAUGAUUGGGGUGAAGUCGUAACAAGGUACC
rnacentral:rRNA from 1 species